rnacentral:rRNA from 1 species
GAUGAACGCUGGCGGCGUGCCUAAUACAUGCAAGUCGAGCGAACAGAUAAGGAGCUUGCUCCUUUGACGUUAGCGGCGGACGGGUGAGUUACACGUGGAUAACCUACCUAUAAGACUGGGAUAACUUCGGGAAACCGGAGCUAAUACCGGAUAACAUAUUGAACCGCAUGGUUCAAUAGUGAAAGGCGGCUUUGCUGUCACUUAUAGAUGGAUCCGCGCCGUAUUAGCUAGUUGGUAAGGUAACGGCUUACCAAGGCAACGAUACGUAGCCGACCUGAGAGGGGUGUCGGCCACACUGGGACGAGACACCGGUCCAGGCCCCGACCGGGAGCAGCCGGAGGGAAUUUUUCCCCAGGGGCGGAAGGCCUAACGGGGCAGCCCGGGGUGAGUAAUAAGGGUGUCGGUACCAAAAAACUUUUUAAUAGGGGAAAAAAAAUUGUGUAAUUACGUGUGCCCAUCUGGAGGGUCCCUAAUAAGAAGCCCAGGCCAACCUCCGAC